AAAUAUUAUUGGUUUAGAGUUCUUAAAAAUUGUAAAUCACAAAAAAUAAUACAUUUAAAACAACAUUUAAUACGUUUUCUUAAUAUUUGUAUUUUUCCUAAAAGAUCAAACAAAAAGGAACAGAAGCAUAAUAAAAAUACAAUUUUCUAUUACUAAACUAUUUAUUU
rnacentral:sRNA from 1 species